AUGAAGGAGGUAUGGUCCAUGGACUCCCCAGGCAUGUCGUCCCCCUUCUUCCCGCCGAUCAGCCUCGCGGGGUUCCCCACCGCGGUGCUCCUCGGCGGCACAUCGAUGAGCACCACCGACCCCGCACCGAUCUUGGCCCCGGCGCCAAUCAGCACGUUGCCCAGGAUCGUCGCCCCGGCGCCAAUCAGAACGCCGUCCCCGAUCUUGGGGUGCCGGUCGCCCACCGCCUUGCCGGUCCCGCCCAGCGUCACGUGGUGGAGGAUGGAGACGUUGUCGCCGACGACGGCCGUCUCGCCGAUGACGACGCCGGUGGCGUGGUCCAGGAGGACGCCCUUGCCGAUGGCGGCGGCCGGGUGGAUGUCGACGGCGAAGACCUCGGCGACCCGGGACUGGAGCGCGAGCGCGAGGGCGCGGCGGUUCUGCGCCCAGAGCACGUGCGCGACGCGGUGGGCCUGGACGGCGAGGAAGCCCUUGUAG
rnacentral:rRNA from 1 species